CUUGUACCUAGCUAGAGAGUUCUCCUUAGAAAACUCAUACGCAAGUCUGUUCUUAACAAUUCCUGAUGGUUUAUGUUAAUCCCAUACACAGGUGAGAUUGGGGACUGCUGGCUGGAAAGAAAGAUACUACAAAGAGAAAUUUUCUGUAGAAACCUGGAGGGAUUCUGAAAACCUAAGAAAAGAAAUAGUAAAGAAGUACACUGAAGGUUUAUUGUGGGUUCUUCUAUAUUAUUUUUCAGGGGUCCCAUCUUGGUCAUGGGUUUACCCAUACCACUAUUCACCAUUUGCGUCAGAUUUGAAGGGCCUUGCUCAGGUCAGUGUAAAGUUUCAAAAGGGUUCCCCAUUAAAACCAUUUGAUCAACUUUUGGCUGUACUACCCCCAAAGAGUGCUCAUGCGCUUCCUAAAGCUUACCAGGCUCUGAUGACAGAUCCAGGGUCCAAGAUAAUUGAUUUAUAUCCUACUGAUUUUGAUAUCGACUUCGAUGGAAAGCGUUUUAUGUGGCAGUGAUGGUAUUUCUGGAUUUAUUAAUCUUCCUAAUGACGAUGCUGAAAUAGUUCACUGCUUUGAAGUCCAUAACAGCAUUAGUGAGAAACGUGUAUUGGACGGAAACAACAUUAAAAACACUUUUUUCAUUCUUGUUUUCUUUUUUUAUGUAUCCUCUGAUAUCGCAUCUGUUGAUGUUGCAGAUGUGUGUCUUUUGUGAUGCGUAAUGGUAGCGUACAUAUUCCGUGCCUACAUGAAGGUGUUGACUGUCCAACUAAGAGUAUUACUGAAGGAGAUAUUAUGGAAACAGAACUUUGGCAUGAAUACCAGGGUAACAAUCCCUCCAACAGAUUGCAGUAUGAAAGAUGUCGAAAAGUGGAUAGUAGCCUGAAUUCUGCUUCAAGCCGGUCCCCUAAGAUGAUACAUGAAGGCUAUCACAGGGGAUUUACUAAAGACUCAUCUUCAGAGGUGUUAUAUAAAGGUGCUGGUGAUGGAUGGGGUGCUGGUAGAGGAAAAGUUAAUAAUGCUUCCAAUAUUUCAGUGUCAAGUAGUAACUUAAAUGAACGGGUCAGGCCUCAUGGAGGAGCUCAGUCGAGGAACAACAAUGUUUGGUCGUAUAGAAAUGGAGUGACCUACGGCACAAAUAAUAUGCAGCAUCAGGGAACAAAAUUUUGGGCUCCUGUCCAACCAGGGAGAGGACAGCAUGCUGCCACAGCUUGGAAACGCAGUUCUGCUACCAGCUUUGUGCCCGGCCGUGGCAGGAGCCAACAUGAUCAACAUUCUUCCGCCGAGGAAAGUGGCAGCCAUUUGAAUGUACAUUUGAAAUCACUGUUCCCUAUGUUUCUGUGUAAUGCCAUUCAAUGACGAUGUGCUAAUCCAGUUUUUUGUAACAAACAUUUACCUUUUCUGAUUUCAAGUUUCUUUGACUGAGAUUGCUGUGCUAUGACAUGUCUAAGUAACUGAUCACAUUUU